rnacentral:lncRNA from 1 species
CACGACUUUUCCGUAAGUGAAUCAAAGCAGAGCCCAGUCGCCGAGGCUGCCCUGUCCCUUUAGGUAAACUUUUCAAAAUGCACCAGGUGGCUCCAGGUCUCCAAACCUUUCUGAGCGCGGGGGCUGCGGCAGUCCUCACGCGUCUCCGUGUGCAACCGGGAGGGCUUCGGGUUUGAGCGCAGACACCGGUGGCCCUGGCGCCUCCGGCCAGGCGGCGCGUCCCGGGACCGCACGACUCGCGGGAAGGGGCGCCUGGCCCCGCGCCGCACUUGCCCAAAACUAGCCUAACUGUUCACAGGCGGCCCUGGCGCUUGCACAUUAAGAAAUCCAAAUUAAGGAGUGGGUGAAUCGGGGAAGGAGGGAGCUAGGAGAGUUUGCACUCUCUAUCUCAGGUAUGAGCAGUUUUCACUGACAUUGAUGCAACUGCAUUAGAGUUAAUGGCAGCUGCCUGCUUCUCAUUAUUAAUUGUCUUUGUGUUUGGAUAAAGUAUGUAAUCUUCUUCUCAACCACACCAUUAAAAUAGGUUGCCUUUUCAAUUAAGAACUGUCGUGAGCACAGCAGUCAAUUUUCCUAAUGAAGAUGCAUUAUAUUUUCACUUUUUUUAAAAUGAAGGAAAAUUCCAGGUUUUCAUUAGACACGAUUACGGAGAAAUACAAGAGAGUUUCUCUAAAAUUUAUGCGGCCGAGUAGUGCAUUAAGCACCAGGCUUUUAAAUAAAUUGAAAUUUCUGGAGAUAAAAGGAAAGCAUGAGUAUCAAAUAUGUCCAAACCCACUUCAUUCAGAUUUCAAAAAGCAAAUACGACGAGUUCAUUUUUUUUUUCAAAUGCACUUAACAGAUAUAGCAAAAACAAGUCAGUCACUGAAAAAUAUGCCUACAAACUUUUGGAGGGAUCCCUUCUAGUUUAGAGAUAAUUUGCAGAUCUUAAACUAAAGCCGUGGUUUUUUGAAAAUGGACUAUGCACAUUUAGAUAACAUGCAGUCUUUGAACAAAUACAUCAGUUUGAUCAUUAACAGGCAAAAAAAUAUCUGGGCUGCGCACCUACAAUUACAACUUUUCAUUUACUGUAAGAAAUUAAAAAUCACAAAAUUCUAAUGUUGAAGUUUAAAAAUUGGUCAGAAAUGUUUAUUCCAGGAUAUGAAAGUGGAAAGCUUGUAUCACUGAACAAAAAUGAAAAGUGUGUAUUAUUCAUUUUCUAAUCUUGGGAACUGGGGAGCCUGUAGUGAAAAGGAUCUGUCAAGAUCUAUGUUUUCUUUGUUAAUAAAAAAAUUUAAGUUAGUAUCUUUUGCAUAUGAAAUGCUAUUAUAGACAAACCCUUUUUUUUCUCUCCCCAUUCAAACUCUCAUAGGAGCCACAUUAUAGAAUAGUGUUUGAGAAAAAAUAAGUCAAAUUCUUCUAAAUAGAAGAAAAAAGUUUCCAACAACAGCCAGACUUUUUUUUUCUUUGUAAGGCAACAUCAGUUGGUUAUUUUGCAGACAUGAUCUUUUCCACGUUUUAGGUGUUAUGUCUUUUAAAAAUUGAACUUUUUUUUUAAAUCAUCCAGCCCCUCAAAAUGAUCUGCAAAGAGUGGGGAAUUAGAUUUUCGAUUAAAACCUUAUCCCAUCUCGAAGGAUUACUUUAUAUUGAUUCUUAAAUAUGGCUACAAUUGAUGGGCUCUAAUUAAAAAUCCAAAGGAAAAGUCUGUCGUGCCCAUAUAAAAGGAGCUUUUCAUAUACGGGAAAUAAAGCUUGUAAAAGGUUACAAAUAAAAGAUUAGAGAUUUAUCCAAACUAGUUUAAAGCUUCACUGUGGUUUUCUUUUCUUCUUUUUUUCCUUUCUUACAAAACCAUUCCUGGGUCUUUUCCCCCCCAGUUUUAAAUGAAGUUUGCAAACAGGCAAGAUAUUGGACUGUAAUGGUUGUUUUAUAUCAGCUCUGUAAGCUCAAGGCUGCUGCCUGCUGUAGAAUUGAUUUCAAGGAAACUUCAGGACCAAGAGAUGAAAAUUAUAUAAACUGACAGCUACCACCCUUCAAUAAUCCAUCCACAUUCCCACAUUCCCGUCCACACUCUCCUAACACACCCAAACCCACACUCACACCCCUCACAUUGCUCUCACAAUCACACAUGCCCUUCCAAUCUCCCACCCUAACCUUUCUCUGCACACACCCUUGGUCCCCACAUGCUCAGGGACAGGCGCAUAGUUCCCAGCUCACACUCAGCUCAUAAAUGUCUCACAGCCCCACAUCUCGCACUUGUCACACAAUCUUAAUCCGUUUCAUUCCGGAACAACAUGGUCCCCCCCCCCUUUUUUUGCAUUUGAAAUUUGCCUCCGACUCUUUUAUCAGGACAGCACAAUCCUAUCUUUGAAGUCGUUUCUUUCCCCCUACCCUCUUUUCUGAGGCAAGAGCAAUGCAGGGAAUAAGCGACCUAAGCUUAAUUCAUAAGUGAUCUGUUGCCUUCUAUUUUCACCCCAAUUCUGCCUGCACCACCAAUCUUUAACUCUCAUUUAAAAAUUAAUUAAAGUUAAUCUUGUCAAAGUUUUUAAUAAAGACAUAUUUAAAAACUUAAUGAAAAAUGACUUUUUUUCCUAAAUAUUGUGGCAGUUCUAAGGCAAGAUGUGGUCCCCCACUGUCCACUGAAUCACUGAAAAGAUUGGAAAUUAAUCUUCAUAUUUCUGAAGUAAGUGUUCAGGGAGUCUAACUGGUUCCUUUCCCCCUGAGAGCUGUGUUCUCACGGAAUACGGGUUUUGUUCUUCUUCUUUUUUAAUUAGCCUGAAAGAAUCCUGCGAUCUCUCUCUUUUCUCCUCCCACUCCUUCACUCCCUCCACACCACCGUACUUAAUAAACUUGGAGGAAAGUUUGGAAUAUUUUAAAAGAGGGCUGGCAUGUGGAGUGGAGAAUGUGAGCCCACCAGACAUGAGUCUAGAUUUCAAAAUAUGAGUAUCGGCCAUAUUUUGGAAACUGCACGCAAGCUCUGACAAAUAAUUUGAUUCCCCAUGCAUUGCUUUUCUUAAUUUGCUUCUGAAUAUUUACAUUCAUAGCAAGGUAAUUAUACAUGACAAUUAAAAAACAUCCUCUCAUUAAUGAAAAUUACCUGAAAAUAUAAAGCGUGCUACUGUAAGUCAGAUUCAUAGAAGACAAAAUUUAAGACCGAGGACACAGGAAAAAAAAGUUAAACAUCAUCAGAGAAUAUAAAAUGACCACAUACUAAGUAUAUCGGAAGUUGAAGGACUUACAGAAAAUUGGGUUAGACUUUUCAUCCAAGGAGUCUUUUUCUCCCACCAAGUGUCUAAGGUUUUCGGUACAGCAGCCCAGCCCCCCUUCCCUCAAAGCCAGUGGCUUUUGUCCUGACCUAGAGUGGGGUUUGUGGGAACUGUACCUGAGCCAGGCUGUCUGCAGUUUCCAAAUUGACAAGAAGAGACUGGAAGAUAAAGAGCAUGUUCUUACAGGUGAAGAGCAAUUUUGCAACUUUUCCAGGAGACACCCAGGAGAAAGCUUGCUUGCUACCAACUGCUGCUGGGUCUGGGCAGAAUUCCUCUAGAAAGAAAAAGAAAGUCUUUUUUCCUCGUCUGCCUCUUUCUGUCUAGUUCUCCUUCUCCUCUCUGUCUGUCUCUCUCUCUCUCUUUCUCUCUCUCUCUCUCUCUCUC